rnacentral:lncRNA from 1 species
GCCAAGAAAAAUUUAACAAGCAGUGGUGUAACGGGGGAAGAGGGGCCCUUAGGAAAAUUCCGUCUCUAUAACAAUAACAACAACAGUCUCCAACACAUGUAACAACUAAUAUAAGAAUAACUUUUGUUUUAUUUGAGAUGGAAUAAAAAAAUCAGCGACCAUUGUCGUUAGAGGCUUUAUAAUUUAGCAUUAUUAAUUUUGCAUAUUCCCAUUGAUUCUUAACCUGCAUUUUUU